GGUUGAAUUCUCUGCAAUGCGCGAAAGCGUGACAGGGGGAUUCCAAGUGCUUAUGAUUUAUCAUAGGCUUUUGCAAAGUGUAGAUAGCUUGGCGAAUAAGGGGUGGGCAAGACCGGUGGCAGCAGCCGCGGUAAUACCGGCGCCCCAAGUGGUGGUCGCUUUUAUUGGGCCUAAAGCGUCCGUAGCUGGCUUUACGGGUCUUUGGUGAAAUCCAUGCGCUUAACGUAUGGGCGUGCCAGAGAAACUUUGAAGCUUGAGACCGGGAGAAGUAAGGAGUAUUGUUGGGGUAAGGGUAAAAUCUUAUAAUCCCAACAGGACUACCUGUGGCGAAGGCGCCUUACUAGAACGGGUCUGACAGUGAGGGACGAAAGCUGAGGGAGCAAACGGG
rnacentral:rRNA from 1 species